UACGAAGGUCCCAAGCGUUAUCCGGAUUUAUUGGGUUUAAAGGGUGCGUAGGCGGGUUAUUAAGUCAGUGGUGAAAGCCUACAGCUUAACUGUAGAAUUGCCAUUGAUACUGAUGAUCUUGAGUAUGAUUGAGGUGGGCGGAAUGUGUCAUGUAGCGGUGAAAUGCUUAGAUAUGACACAGAACACCGAUUGCGAAGGCAGCUCACUACGCCAUAACUGACGCUGAUGCACGAAAGCGUGGGGAGCAAACAGG
rnacentral:rRNA from 1 species